ensembl:lncRNA
CUCUCAAGGACUGAAGUCUGUGUCUGGAGCUUCACUGACCGCACCAGACCCCUUGCAUCAGGUUUGGUCCCCAGCACUCUUCCUAAUGGCCAGGACCCUCGUGGAGCGGUGGGGUCAACGACCAGGACAAUGUCUCCGACGCUCAGAUUCUUCUUUACUGCAGUCCAUUUCUGUCUCUCCUGCAGCAGUAGAAGAUAUUCUUUAGUCCACCUGUGCCAGAAUAGAUCAGCCAUGUACUGGACCUGUUUCCAGCGGCGCUUGGCAUAGAGGUCGGACAGGAGGAUGUGAUUUGGAGUCAGUGGCUCAAGGUCAUGUGGGUCUGAGGACACUGUGGAGAGAGGACGGUUGUUCAGGAUUUCCUCCACCUCGCAGAGCAGCGUUUGAAGGCCUUCAUCAUCGAUGGACUGCUGUUGGAGAGUGGAGUUCAGAACCUGGAGGACAGAUCUUAUGAGCCUUUCCCAGACUCCGCCAUAGUGUGAUCCUGCUGGUGGAUUGAAACUCCAUUCGAUUCCAUCUGGGAGCAGGGCAUCUUGGAUUUUCUGCUCAUUCAGUGACUUCAGGGCCUUCUUGAGCUCCAUGUCAGCACCCCUCAGUGUUCAACAGAUGGGUGGAAGCAGUCCCAUCAGAAGACCAAAGUGCGGCUACGGUAAUCAAGGCUCUGACGAGAGAAGUCAUGGCAAGGUUUGGAAUUCCGUCACAAAUUAGCUCAGACGACAGAGCAGCGUUUGUUCAGAAAACACUCAGACAGGUGAUUUAACAUCUGCAUGUCAAAUAAAGACUAGUCCGUGUCUACAUUCCUCAAACCACAAGGUAUGGUGGAGAGAGGAAUGGGACGCUUAAGACAAAGAUUAACAAAAUUAAAUUAGAGUACUAAAUUGGAGGACUAAUGCACUACGACUGACACUAAUGAGUUAUCGCAUGAAAACUAACAGAACGACGCAUCUAACCCCGCAUGAAAUGCUUACGGGUCGACCCAUGCCUUCACCUGUCAUUCGAGGGCCUCAUAAAGGACCUCCAUUAGAACAAUUGGAAACUGAAUUAAGACGUUAUAUGGGACAACUAACUGGCAUACAAAGGCUUAUUUUUCAACAAGAGAAAGACAGAGUUCCAGAGUUGGAGAAGGAGCCACCAAGGGGGGUGGAGCCAGGUGACCAAGUGUAUCUCAGGAUGUUCAGGAGAAAGUGGAACGAGCCCAGAGAAGGACCAUACAAAGUCACCAACGCAACACCAACAGCCAUCCAAGUGGAAGGAAGUGCCACGUGGUAUCAUCUCAACCACUGCACAAAAGCCGCUCAACCUAAAGCCAGGGAUGAGCAUGAGGAGGAGGAGCCAGACGCAGACACGCCUGGGGCUGACCAGCUGCCCCAGGACCAGAUCCAGUUGAGUCAAGAGAUUCAGCAACAUGAUAAUGCUGAAAACGGGGAGCCUGUUCCUGAUCCUUUACGGGUUGUGCCAGAUUCCGCUGGCACAAGGACAGACCCCGAGGAAGGAUGAAACCACGGAGACAACACAGACCUGGAAGAGCCAGGAAUCAGGGGCUGGUACUGAAGGAAGCCAGAGAGAAUAUAUACUUCUUAAAGCUGUGGCUUGGCAGAACAGACAGGCCUUAGAUUGGCUUUUAGCAGAAAAGGGGGGAGUUUGUGAUCUUAUAGGUGAAAUGUGUUGUACCUUCAUUCCAAAUAAUACUGCCCCAGAUGGAUCAUUUACACUUGCGAUGAACAAUUAAAAACGUUUAAGAAAAGAAUUAAAGGAAAACGCAGGCCAUGAUCAGGGAAUGUUUGGAUGGCUUGAAACAAAGUUUGGUAUGUGGGGAAUGAUGUUCGCAAAGAUAGGAGUAGUGCUCCUAAUAGUACUAACAGUGAUGGGUCUGAUCUUUUGCUGCUGCAUUCCCAUAGUCAGAUCCGUAAUAGCAUCCAGGCUUUCUAAAGAGAUGGCCCUCAUGGUGACUGGCAUAGAGGAGGGUUGGGAGGGAGAGGGUGCGCCGAGAGGAUGGUCGCACUGACAAUGGCUCUGCAUGCACUACGCAGCUUUAUGUUUAUAAUUGUUUUUAUUGUUAGUUUUUUUGUCGCUCAUUCAGUAUGAUCGACUGGCACUUUUGGAAAUUCGUGAGUCACAGCGAGUGCUUGCUGUGACUCCUUUGUCUUACCGCCGGUAUGCCUACCAAUACGCCGACGGAAGAGAAAGAAGAGAGGCAAGCGAGCCGGCAUCCUGUGCAGAUCUCGGACGAGAUACUGCAACCCACCGCUUCCAAGCAUUCUACUAGCGAAUGUGCAAUCUUUGGACAAUAAACUGGACGAGCUACACGCACGGAUUGAAUUCCAGCGGGACAUUGCAAACUGUUGUGUACUGGCGUUUACCGAGACCUGGCUGGAUCCUAUGGUGCCUGACUCUGCCGUCACUCCGACCGGCUUCUCCAUCUACCGGCAGGACAGGACUUCCGAGUCAGGUAAAAGAAGGGGAGGAGGGGUAUGCUUGAUGGUUAACUCUCGCUGGGGCUCGGAUUUUGCUGCACUUUCAGCACACUGCUCACCAGACCUGGAGCUGUUAUCGAUUAAAGUUCGCCCCUUCUAGCUCCCAUGGGAAUUCAGCUCCGUUAUUGUCACAGCAGUAUACAUUCCACCGCAGGCGGACAAAACGUGCGCGUUAGAGGAACUUUACAGAGUAAUUAAUGGACUUGAGGAUGCUCACCCUGAGGCGGUUUCUAUUGUUGUUGGAGACUUCAAUAGGACCAAUAUGAAGAAAGUUUUACC